CCUAAUCAAUUAAAAAUAGUUAAUUUGAAACAUAUCACUCGAAACUAGGGUAUUAGUUGGAUUGACGAUAUUUUUCUUAUUAAUAUCAACGAGAAGAAUCAAGUGUCGUUAGCUCAAUUGGUAAAAAAUUUAGGCAAAGCUUAGAGAUGUCUAUUUGAGUGACGCUUGGAACAAAAAUUACAUGCUAUGGUUUCAGGCCUAGAGAAAUGCUUCGAUCCAGAAUCUCUUGAUAUUCAAAAAAAAA
rnacentral:sRNA from 1 species